AGAGUUUGAUCCUGGCUCAGGAUGAACGCUAGCGGGAGGCUUAACACAUGCAAGUCGAGGGGUAUUGUAGCAAUACAUUAGACCGGCGCACGGGUGAGUAACGCGUAUGCAACCUGCCGUUAACCGGGGGAUAGCCCGUCGAAAGGCGGAUUAAUACCCCAUAAUAUUGGGAUUCUGCAUGGGAUUUCAAUUAAAGCUGAGGUGGUUAACGAUGGGCAUGCGUGACAUUAGCUAGUUGGUAGGGUAACGGCCUACCAAGGCUACGAUGUCUAGGGGUUCUGAGAGGAAGGUCCCCCACACUGGUACUGAGACACGGACCAGACUCCUACGGGAGGCAGCAGUGAGGAAUAUUGGUCAAUGGGCGAGAGCCUGAACCAGCCAUCCCGCGUGCAGGAAGACGGCCCUAUGGGUUGUAAACUGCUUUUGCGCAUGAAGAAUGUUACCGACGUGUCGGUAAGUGACGGUAAUGCGUGAAUAAGCAUCGGCUAACUCCGUGCCAGCAGCCGCGGUAAUACGGAGGAUCCGAGCGUUAUCCGGAUUUAUUGGGUUUAAAGGGUGCGUAGGUGGUUUGAUAAGUCAGCGGUGAAAGUUUGCAGCUUAACUGUAAAAAUGCCGUUGAAACUGUCGGACUUGAGUGUAAAUGAGGUAGGCGGAAUGCGUGGUGUAGCGGUGAAAUGCAUAGAUAUCACGCAGAACUCCGAUUGCGAAGGCAGCUUACUAAGCUACAACUGACACUGAAGCACGAAAGCGUGGGGAUCAAACAGGAUUAGAUACCCUGGUAGUCG
rnacentral:rRNA from 1 species